rnacentral:rRNA from 1 species
CUGCUGCCUCCCGUAGGAGUCUGGGCCGUGUCUCAGUCCCAGUNUGGCCGUCCACCCUCUCAGGCCGGCUGCUGAUCGUCGCUUUGGUGGGCCGUUACCCCGCCAACUGGCUAAUCAGACGCGGGCCCAUCCUGUACCACCGGAGUUUUCAAAGGAUUACCAUGCGGUAUUCCCCUAUUAUGCGGUAUUAGCACCUAUUUCUAAGUGUUAUCCCCCGGUACAGGGCAGGUUGCCCACGCGUUACUCACCCGUCCGCCACUAAGACAG